rnacentral:rRNA from 1 species
AAAUUGAAGAGUUUGAUCAUGGCUCAGAUUGAACGCUGGCGGCAGGCCUAACACAUGCAAGUCGAACGGUAACAGGAAGCAGCUUGCUGCUUUGCUGACGAGUGGCGGACGGGUGAGUAAUGUCUGGGAAACUGCCUGAUGGAGGGGGAUAACUACUGGAAACGGUAGCUAAUACCGCAUAACGUCGCAAGACCAAAGAGGGGGACCUUCGGGCCUCUUGCCAUCGGAUGUGCCCAGAUGGGAUUAGCUUGUUGGUGGGGUAACGGCUCACC